UGCUGCUGUUAAAAAGCUCGUAGUUGGAUCAAGAGUUCGACAGUGCAAGGUGGCCUCCCUUGUCCCGUUGGCUCCGGUCACCGGUACGGCGGCGGAUCAACCCCUGCGCCAAACUGUCGUCUCUAACAGACCGAAACGGUUCCCUGUGAGUAGGUUCCUUCAUUGGGGCUGAAAGCCACCUACGCAUCAACCAUAUGCUACGGGACGUCGGUCAAAGUUACUGUGAACAAACCAGCGUGUCCAAAACAGGCUUUCGCCUGAAUGUUCGAGCAUGGAAUAACAAGGGAUCGAUUCUCUCGGUUCUUUUUGUUGGUUUUUAACCCGAGAAGGAGUAAUUCAGGCCACGGUGUCUGGGCUGGGUUCCCCUAGUCUCCGGAUUAGGCCCCAGUUAGGCCGUGUCCUUACGGGAUCAAUAGGGACUGACGGGGUCGUACGUACUUCCACGUCAGAGGUGGAAUUCUUAGAUCGUGGGAAGACGAACUUCUGCGAGAGCAUUCGACAAGAAUGUCUUCAUUAAUCAAGAACGAGAGUGUGGGGAUCGAAGAUGAUCAGAUACCGUCGUAGUCUACUACUGUAA
rnacentral:rRNA from 1 species